AUGGCAAAGGAUAAGACGACGAAACCGGAGAAGACAAAGAAGGGGAAGAAGAUGCGGAGCUCCAAAGUCGCCCUUCCACGGGGCUGGAUCCAUGGUGAUUGCCUCCCGCCGACUACCACGGCGGAAGAUCUUGGCAGACUCGUCAUCAACGAAUUGCUGCCGGAGGGGAGUUGGAGGCUGCCAUACGAGGGAGAGAAGAACCGGGAUUACCUUGGGCUUCAGAUAGCAGAAACAGCAGGACCUCCUCCGUCUUCAAAUGCAACAUUCUUACUUCCUCCAAUUCUUGGGUUGCUUGCAUAA
rnacentral:rRNA from 1 species